AACGAACGCUGGCGGCAGGCUUAACACAUGCAAGUCGAGCGCCCCGCAAGGGGAGCGGCAGACGGGUGAGUAACGCGUGGGAACGUACCCUUCUCUGCGGAAUAGCUCCGGGAAACUGGAAUUAAUACCGCAUACGCCCUUUGGGGGAAAGAUUUAUCGGGGAAGGAUCGGCCCGCGUUGGAUUAGCUAGUUGGUGGGGUAAAGGCCUACCAAGGCGACGAUCCAUAGCUGGUCUGAGAGGAUGAUCAGCCACAUUGGGACUGAGACACGGCCCAAACUCAUACAGGAGGCAGCAGUGGGGAAUAUUGGACAAUGGGGGCAACCCUGAUCCAGCCAUGCUGCGUGAGUGAUGAAGGACUUAGGGUUGUAAAGCUCUUUCACCGGUGAAGAUAAUGACGGUAACCGGAGAAGAAGCCCCGGCUAACUUCGUGCCAGCCGCCGCAGUAA
rnacentral:rRNA from 1 species